GACGAACGCUGGCGGCGUGCCUAAUACAUGCAAGUCGAACGCAGUGGGGACGGGUGAGUAACACGUGGGUAACCUCCCAUCAGAGGGGAUAACACUUGGAAACAGGUGCUAAACCGAUACUGAUGGAUGGACCCGCGGUGCAUUCGCUAGUUGGUGAGGUAACGGCUCACCACGGCCACGAUGCAUAGCCGAGCUGGGAGGGUGACCGGCCACACGGGGACUGAGACACGGCCCAGACUCCUAUGGGAGGCAGAAGUAGGGAAACUUCGGCAAUGGGCGCAAGUCUGACAGAGCCACGCCGCGGGAGUGAAGAAGGUUUUCGGGUCGUAAAACUCUUUUAUUAGAGAGGCGGCAUCUAGCCAGAAAGCGACGGCUAACUACGUGCCAGCAGCCGCGGUAAUUC
rnacentral:rRNA from 1 species